AGAACGAACGCUGGCGGCGUGGAUAAGACAUGCAAGUCGAACGGGCUUAAUUUUAGAGCAAUCUAGGGUUGAGCCAGUGGCGAACGGGUGCGUAACACGUGAGUCAUCUGCCUGAAAGUGGGGGAUAGCUCGCCGAAAGGCGAAUUAAUACCGCAUGUGGUUGUGAAACCAAAGCCGGGGCAACCUGGCGCUUUUAGAGGAGCUCGCGGCCUAUCAGCUUGUUGGUGAGGUAACAGCUUACCAAGGCAACGACGGGUAGCUGGUCUGAGAGGACGACCAGCCACACUGGAACUGAGACACGGUCCAGACACCUACGGGUGGCAGCAGUCGAGAAUUUUUCUCAAUGGGGGAAACCCUGAAGGAGCGACGCCGCGUGGAGGAUGAAGGCUUUCGGGUUGUAAACUCCUGUCAUUUGGGAACAAGUCUUACGUUAACUGCGUGGAGAUUUGAUAGUACCGAAAGAGGAAGAGACGGCUAACUCUGUGCCAGCAGCCGC
rnacentral:rRNA from 1 species